ACUUAACCUAGCGGCGGACGGGUGAGUAAUGCUUAGGAAUCUGCCUAUUAGUGGGGGACAACAUCUCGAAAGGGAUGCUAAUACCGCAUACGUCCUACGGGAGAAAGCAGGGGACCUUCGGGCCUUGCGCUAAUAGAUGAGCCUAAGUCGGAUUAGCUAGUUGGUGGGGUAAAGGCCUACCAAGGCGACGAUCUGUAGCGGGUCUGAGAGGAUGAUCCGCCACACUGGGACUGAGACACGGCCCAGACUCCUACGGGAGGCAGCAGUGGGGAAUAUUGGACAAUGGGGGGAACCCUGAUCCAGCCAUGCCGCGUGUGUGAAGAAGGCCUUUUGGUUGUAAAGCACUUUAAGCGAGGAGGAGGCUACCGAGAUUAAUACUCUUGGAUAGUGGACGUUACUCGCAGAAUAAGCACCGGCUAACUCUGUGCCAGCAGCCGCGGUAAUACAGAGGGUGCAAGCGUUAAUCGGAUUUACUGGGCGUAAAGCGCGCGUAGGUGGCCAAUUAAGUCAAAUGUGAAAUCCCCGAGCUUAACUUGGGAAUUGCAUUCGAUACUGGUUGGCUAGAGUAUGGGAGAGGAUGGUAGAAUUCCAGGUGUAGCGGUGAAAUGCGUAGAGAUCUGGAGGAAUACCGAUGGCGAAGGCAGCCAUCUGGCCUAAUACUGACACUGAGGUGCGAAAGCAUGGGGAGCAAACAGGAUUAGAUACCCUGGUAGUCCAUGCCGUAAACGAUGUCUACUAGCCGUUGGGGCCUUUGAGGCUUUAGUGGCGCAGCUAACGCGAUAAGUAGACCGCCUGGGGAGU
rnacentral:rRNA from 1 species